rnacentral:rRNA from 1 species
GUUAACGGGGGAUUAGGGUUCGAUUCCGGAGAGGGAGCCUGAGAAACGGCUACCACAUCUAAGGAAGGCAGCAGGCGCGCAAAUUACCCAAUUCUAACAGCAUAAGAGAGGUAGUGACAAGAAAUAACAAUACAAGGCAGUUAAAAUGCUUUGUAAUUGGAAUGAUAGAAAUUUAAACACUUUUUAAAGUAUCAAUUGGAGGGCAAGUCUGGUGCCAGCAGCCGCGGUAAUUCCAGCUCCAAUAGCGUAUAUUAAAAUUGUUGCAGUUAAAAAGCUCGUAGUUGAAUUUCUGCUUAAAAUAACCAGUCUGCUUUUAACAAAAGUGGUAUCUUGGUGUGUUUUUAGCAAUAAUGUCCUUUGAAAUGUGUUUUACUUUGUUGUAAAAGGCAAUAUUCAGGAUUUUUACUUUGAGAAAAUUAGAGUGUUUCUAGCAGGCUAAUGCUUUGAAUACUGCAGCAUGGAAUAAUAAAAUAGGAAUUUGGUUCUACAUUAUUGGUUU